GUGACAAAGACUUUUAAAACUUUCCCACCAUAUCCCAGAAUACAGUUCGUACAGCAUCAUUGCUACAUCAUUGCUACAUCACUGACAUGUCACAAAAGGGGAGAGGUUAACCUUGGCAAACAUGUCCAGACAAGUCCUUGGUACAAGAUUAGCAUAAGCAGACAUGGCAGGGCAAGACUCAGGUAUAAGAUUAGCAUAGACAAAUAUGUCUUAAGUACCCACCACCCAAAAGUACAAUAGAAGUUCCUUUGCAUGUCUGGAGCCUGAGGCGAGUCAGGUGAUGAGAUUUGGCUUCCCUUGGCUAACAAGGAGCCCAGCAAUUAUCACCUCUGGGAACUUCCUGGGGUCCCUUUUCAAGGGGAAAAUAGCUUUGGAAUGGAGGAAACUGGGAAAGGAGAUGAUUUUAUAUUAUUUUUAAAGCUAGGUGACUUCCCUGAGCUGUCAAGUUGAAAGGAUAUAUUCAGGCAUAAUAUUUGUAAUAUGUAACUUUAAAGAUGUGCCCCCCCCCCGUAAUUUCCAUAACAGUCCGGCCCCCCACAAUGUCUGAGGGACAGUGGACCUGCCCCCUGCUGAAAAAGUUUGCUGACCGCUGCUAAACAGUUGAAGAAAGUUUUCUUUUAACUAGCUUUUCAAGCCAGAUGGAAAUGUAUCUAAUUUAGAUGUUCUUUUUCCCUACUGAAUUUGAUAUCAUAUGUGGCUGCUUUGCAUUAUUUUUUUUAAAAAAACGUUAUCAUGUUUCACCGUAUUGUAAAUUGCCCUGUGGUGAGAUAUUCGUGUUUAAAUAUAAAUAAAUAAAUGGGUGAAUAUACAGUGGGUCUCAUCAUAAUGCAGCAGACAGAAAUCAGGAGACUUGUCUGUUUGAUUCAGACUGUGAUCCAGUUGCUCAUUGCUGAUGGGCAACUUCAAAGCCCAGCAGACACAGAAGAUUAGGAGAAGACACCACUGAGGAAGCUGUAUCUCUCUCUAAGGGUUGCAGUUGAGCCUCACAAACUACCAGGAGCCUCACAAACUAGAUUUCUCACAGAAAUGGGCACUUUCUGCUCCCCCUCGCCCUCUGCAGCAACUGAUGUUCAGAGACACCCCGUCAGUCCUAUUAUCCAUCACAUCUGUGCUUCGAUUUGAAGAAACAUUUCCAUUUUAUAUACUUAUUUCCUUCCAAUCCAGUUCAGCCCCCUCCCUCCCAAGGUCUUCCUUCCAAAACCUCGCCUUCUCUCAGCCACCCUUUCACUGGUUGUCCCGUUUACUCUUUCCACCUCCUGAUGGCUCUCCAACUGGACCCUAUUUUGGACAGAGGUGACUUGGCAACUGCACUCCAGGCUCUGGUAACUUCCAGGCUGGGUUACUGCAAUGUCUUCUGUUUGGAGCUUCCCUUAAAGGUGACUCAGAAACUUCCAUGGGUCCAGAUUACGGGCUGGGGCUCCAUCCACCUCUGAUAUAAAUCCUAAACCCUUGUUAAACCACUUGGACCACAGAACAGCUUCUGGGUUAGUGGUGAAUGUCACAUCAGCAGAUUCCUUGAGACCAUGAGCCCUUCCUUCAGAUACACUUGCCUCCCCUCCUUCCUCUCUCCCCAUAUACACACAAAGGUACACGGGGAUUGUUUAUUGUGAAUUUAGUCCUGUAACCAUUAACAUUAUCUGCAUUUAUGUACUUUUUAUUAUUCUGCAGCCUCGUGACAGCAGGUGUAUGAUUUAUCCCAUGUGAAAUCUUGUAUGAAUUCCAUGAAGUUUAGCAACAGUGGUGCUCUAAUUAAACUGCUUUCCUCAUUACAAGCAUCUAAA